AAUCGUCUGAGGGAGGAGCUGAGGAGGUCAAAGACUCAGGAUGCUCAAACCUCGACACAGGCUGAGGUGUACAAAGUGCGAGCUGAGCACAGCGAGGAGGUCACGGCCCACCCGAGGAGCCACCUGAGGGACACGGAAAAGAAAUGUGCAGACGCUCUGACCACGGCUGAGACGUGGUAACAUCACCACGUCAAGGUGCAGGAAGAAAACAAGCAGCUGCAGGUUCAAGUUUCUCUGCUCACCAGACAGAUAUCAGAGCUGACGGAGAAACUCAGCACCCAGGUCAAAGUUCAGCCUCCAGCAGUGACUGAGGACACGGAUCUUUCAGAAACGGUGCGACGGCUCAAAAAGCAGCUGAAGAAGAGUCAGUUCAGAGAAAGGAUCCUGGAUAAUCAUGACACCUGUCUGGACAGAAUGC